UGAAGGUCUUCGGAUCGUAAAGUUCUGUUGUCAGGGAAGAACAAGUACCGUGCGAAUAGAGCGGUACCUUGACGGUACCUGACGAGGAAGCCCCGGCUAACUACGUGCCAGCAGCCGCGGUAAUACGUAGGGGGCAAGCGUUGUCCGGAAUUAUUGGGCGUAAAGCGCGCGCAGGCGGUUCCUUAAGUCUGAUGUGAAAGCCCACGGCUCAACCGUGGAGGGUCAUUGGAAACUGGGGAACUUGAGGACAGAAGAGGAGAGUGGAAUUCCACGUGUAGCGGUGAAAUGCGUAGAUAUGUGGAGGAACACCAGUGGCGAAGGCGACUCUCUGGUCUGUUUCUGACGCUGAGGUGCGAAAGCGUGGGUAGCAAACAGGAUUAGAUACCCUGGUAGUCCACGCCGUAAACGAUGAGUGCUAGGUGUUAGGGGGCUUCCACCCCUUAGUGCUGAAGUUAACGCAUUAAGCACUCCGCCUGGGGAGUACGGCCGCAAGGCUGAAACUUAAAGGAAUUGACGGA
rnacentral:rRNA from 1 species